rnacentral:miRNA from 1 species
AUGAAGUGUUUGGAGGAACUC